AGAUGCGAGAGUAGAGCAUAUCAAUAAGCGGAGGAAAAGAAACUAACAAGGAUUCCCUUAGUAACGGCGAGUGAAGCGGGAAGAGCUCAAAUUUGAAAUCUUCAAGGUUCUACCUUGACGAAUUGUAGUUUAAAGAAGUGUUUUCUGUUAGAUGAGUAGCAAAAGUUCCUUGGAAUGGGACAUCAUAGAGGGUGAGAAUCCCGUAUUUGGUUAUUCAUUCUAGCUUUGUGAUACACUUUCAAAGAGUCGGAUUGUUUGGGAAUGCAGUCCAAAAUGGGUGGUAAAUUUCAUCUAAAGCUAAAUAUUGGCGAGAGACCGAUAGCGAACAAGUACCGUGAGGGAAAGAUGAAAAGAACUUUGAAAAGAGAGUUAAACAGUACGUGAAAUUGUCAAAAGGGAAGCGUUUGACACCAGUGUUGUUUUUCCGAAAAUCAAUUAAGAAUGGCUUGGAUUUUGUGUUGUAUUGACCUUAUCAGCUUUCUGCACUCUUUUUCAAGUCUUUCUUAAUGCACUUUUCGGUUAACAAGUCAACAUCAAUUUCUUUUGUUGUAAAAGAGUAUUCGGAAGGUGGCUUUCUUUUCGGAGAAAGUGUUUAUAGCCCUAUACUUCUACAAUCGGAGAGAUUGAGGUCUGCAGCGUAGAUCCUUCGGGGUUAGAUACACUUGUGCUAAGUUGUAGCUUUUCAUAGACAACUUGUUGACUAUGUUUAGUCAUGCGGCUUACUCGCUUAUGCUAUUUUACCUACGCUUAGGAUGUUGAGCGCAUGUCUCUCUCU
rnacentral:rRNA from 1 species